rnacentral:rRNA from 1 species
AUCUUACCGGGUCCGGACACACUGAGGAUUGACAGGCAAUAUUAGCACUUAACUUCUUGCGACGUGUUAUGUUAAAUAUGCUAGUCCUUUCAUGAUUAUGUGAUAGGUGGUGCAUGGCCGUUCUUAGUUCGUGGAGUGAUCUGUCUGCUUAAUUGCGUUUCACCAAGGGCCUAUAAUUUUACGUGUGUUGCGGCACUUUGACCCCUCUUUUUUUAAAGAGCGCGUGUCUUGGUUUGCUUAGCUCGCACAAUUAGGUCCUGAAAGCAACGAACGUGACCGCAACCUCUUGUUGCCUUUAUACCAAACGUGCAUAUGUAAUUUUUUUAAAUUGCUUUGCGCGCAAAAAGGCUUUUUAAACUAGAGGGACCGCUGUUACUUUCUUAAACCAGAGGAAGGUUGCGGCAAUAACAGGUCUGUGAUGCCCUUAAAUGUUCCGGGCUGCACACGUGCUACAAUGAUUAUUGCAGUGAGCAUCUCAUUUUUUACACACCGCAUACGCGAGACCAUUUAUUCACCUUCGGGUGCUUUAAAUGUGUUUUCUCUGCGAGCGGUAAAGCCUGCUUCGAAAGUAAGUGGGUAAUCAAUUAGAAGUAAUGAUUUC